UGGGGAAUUUUCCGCAAUGGGUGAGAGCCUGACGGAGCAACGCCGCGUGAGGGAGGACGGCCUGUGGGUUGUAAACCUCUUUUCUCAGGGAAGAAGAUCUGACGGUACCUGAGGAAUCAGCCUCGGCUAACUCCGUGCCAGCAGCCGCGGUAAUACGGAGGAGGCAAGCGUUAUCCGGAAUUAUUGGGCGUAAAGCGUCCGUAGGUGGUUGUUCAAGUCUGCUGUCAAAGCGUGGGGCUCAACUCCAUAGAGGCAGUGGAAACUGUGUAACUAGAGUGCGGUAGGGGUCGAGGGAAUUCCCAGUGUAGCGGUGAAAUGCGUAGAUAUUGGGAAGAACACCAGUGGCGAAAGCGCUCGACUGGGCCUGCACUGACACUGAGGGACGAAAGCUAGGGGAGCGAAAGGGAUUAGAUACCCCCGUAGUCC
rnacentral:rRNA from 1 species